rnacentral:rRNA from 1 species
UGCAAGUCGAACGAGAAAGGGGAGCAAUCCCUGAGUAAAGUGGCGUACGGGUGAGUAACACGUGGAUGAUCUACCUUCUGGUGGGGAAUAACCCUGGGAAACCGGGGAUAAUACCGCAUAAGCACGAGAGUGGAAAGCAGCAAUGCGCCGGAAGAGGAGUCCGCGGCCGAUUAGCUAGUUGGCAGGGUAAAAGCCUACCAAGGCAACGAUCGGUAGCCGGCCUGAGAGGGCACACGGCCACACUGGCACUGAAACACGGGCCAGACUCCUACGGGAGGCAGCAGUGGGGAAUCUUGCACAAUGGGGGAAACCCUGAUGCAGCGACGCCGCGUGAGCGAUGAAGCCCUUCGGGGUGUAAAGCUCUUUCGGCAGGGAAGAUAGUGACGGUACCUGCAGAAGCAGCUGCGGCUAACUACGUGCCAGCAGCCGCGGUAAUACGUAGGCAGCGAGCGUUGUUCGGAGUUACUGGGCGUAAAGGGUGUGUAGGCGGUUGUUUAAGUUUGGUGUGAAAUCUCCCGGCUCAACUGGGAGGGUGCGCCGAAUACUGAAUGACUUCGAGUGCGGGAGAGGAAAGUGGAAUUCCUGGUGUAGCGGUGAAAUGCGUAGAUAUCAGGAGGAACACCGGUGGGUGUAGACGGCUUUCUGGACCGUAACUGACGCUGAGACACGAAAGCGUGGGUAGCAAACAGGAUUAGAUACCCUGGUAGUCCACGCCCUAAACGACGCAUAUUUGGUGUGGGCAGUUCAUUCUGUCCGUGCCGGAGCUAACGCGUUAAAUAUGCCGCC